GAUGAACGCUAGCGGGAGGCCUAACACAUGCAAGCCGAGCGGUAUUGUUUCUUCGGAAAUGAGAGAGCGGCGUACGGGUGCGGAACACGUGUGCAACCUGCCUUUAUCUGGGGGAUAGCCUUUCGAAAGGAAGAUUAAUACUCCAUAAUAUAUUGAACGGCAUCGUUUAAUAUUGAAAGCUCCGGCGGAUAGAGAUGGGCACGCGCAAGAUUAGCUAGUUGGUGAGGUAACGGCUCACCAGGGCGAUGAUCUUUAGGGGGCCUGAGAGGGUGAUCCCCCACACUGGUACUGAGACACGGACCAGACUCCUACGGGAGGCAGCAGUGAGGAAUAUUGGUCAAUGGGUGCAAGCCUGAACCAGCCAUCCCGCGUGAAGGACGACUGCCCUAUGGGUUGUAAACUUCUUUUGUAUAGGGAUAAACCUACCCUCGUGAGGGUAGCUGAAGGUACUAUACGAAUAAGCACCGGCUAACUCCGUGCCAGCAGCCGCGGUAAUACGGAGGGUGCAAGCGUUAUCCGGAUUUAUUGGGUUUAAAGGGUCCGUAGGCGGACUUAUAAGUCAGUGGUGAAAGCCUGUCGCUUAACGAUAGAACUGCCAUUGAUACUGUAAGUCUUGAGUAUAUUUGAGGUAGCUGGAAUAAGUAGUGUAGCGGUGAAAUGCUUAGAUAUUACUUAGAACACCAAUUGCGAAGGCAGGUUACCAAGAUAUAACUGACGCUGAGGGACGAAAGCGUGGGGAGCGAACAGGAUUAGAUACCCUGGUAGUCCACGCCGUAAACGAUGCUAACUCGUUUUUGGGCUUUAGGGUUCAGAGACCAAGCGAAAGUGAUAAGUUAGCCACCUGGGGAGUACGCUCGUAAGAGUGAAACUCAAAGGAAUUGACGGGGGCCCGCACAAGCGGUGGAUUAUGUGGUUUAAUUCGAUGAUACGCGAGGAACCUUACCAAGACUUAAAUGGGAAUUGACAGCUUUAGAAAUAGAGCUUUCUUCGGACAAUUUUCAAGGUGCUGCAUGGUUGUCGUCAGCUCGUGCCGUGAGGUGUUAGGUUAAGUCCUGCAACGAGCGCGACCCCUGUCACUAGUUGCCAUCAUUCAGUUGGGGACUCUAGUGAGACUGCCUACGCAAGUAGAGAGGAAGGUGGGGAUGACGUCAAAUCAUCACGGCCCUUACGUCUUGGGCCACACACGUAAUACAAUGGCCGGUACAGAGGGCAGCUACACAGCGAUGUGAUGCAAAUCUCGAAAGCCGGUCUCAGUUCGGAUUGGAGUCUGCAACUCGACUCUAUGAAGCUGGAAUCGCUAGUAAUCGCGCAUCAGCCAUGGCGCGGUGAAUACGUUCCCGGGCCU
rnacentral:rRNA from 1 species